AAAUUGAAGAGUUUGAUCAUGGCUCAGAUUGAACGCUGGCGGCAGGCCUAACACAUGCAAGUCGAACGGUAACAGGAAGAAGCUUGCUUCUUUGCUGACGAGUGGCGGACGGGUGAGUAAUGUCUGGGAAACUGCCUGAUGGAGGGGGAUAACUACUGGAAACGGUAGCUAAUACCGCAUAACGUCGCAAGACCAAAGAGGGGGACCUUCGGGCCUCUUGUCAUCGGAUGUGCCCAGAUGGGAUUAGCUAGUAGGUGGGGUAACGGCUCACC
rnacentral:rRNA from 1 species